rnacentral:misc_RNA from 1 species
GAUGAAGAACGUAGCGAAAUGCGAUACUUGGUGUGAAUUGCAGAAUCCCGUGAACCAUCGAGUCUUUGAACGCAAGUUGCGCCUGAAGCCAUUAGGCUGAAGGCACGUCUGCCUGGGCGUCACACGUCGUUGCCCCCCCAUCUACUCCUUCGGGAUUGCGGGGGGCGGAUGAUGGCCUCCCGUGCGCCUCGUCGCGCGGUUGGCAUAAAUGCCAAGUCCUCGGCGACGCACGCCACGACAAUCGGUGGUUGCGAAACCUCGGUUGCCCGUCGUGUGCGGUCGUCGCGCAUCGAGGGCUCGAAAAAAUUGUCGGGCUCCGGCUCGGCUUUCAACGCGACCCCAGGUCAGGCGGGGUUACCCGCUGAAUUUAAGCAUAUCAAUAAGCGGAGGA